rnacentral:rRNA from 1 species
UACGAAGGGGGCUAGCGUUGCUCGGAAUCACUGGGCGUAAAGCGCACGUAGGCGGAUCGCUAAGUCAGGGGUGAAAUCCUGGAGCUCAACUCCAGAACUGCCUUUGAUACUGGCAAUCUCGAGUCCGGGAGAGGUGAGUGGAACUGCGAGUGUAGAGGUGAAAUUCGUAGAUAUUCGCAAGAACACCAGUGGCGAAGGCGGCUCACUGGCCCGGUACUGACGCUGAGGUGCGAAAGCGUGGGGAGCAAGCAGG